rnacentral:rRNA from 1 species
AUUGAACGCUGGCGGCAGGCUUAACACAUGCAAGUCUAGCGGAGAUGAGGUGCUUGCACCUUAUCUUAGCGGCGGACGGGUGAGUAAUGCUUAGGAAUCUGCCUAUUAGUGGGGGACAACAUUCCGAAAGGAAUGCUAAUACCGCAUACGCCCUACGGGGGAAAGCAGGGGAUCUUCGGACCUUGCGCUAAUAGAUGAGCCUAAGUCGGAUUAGCUAGUUGGUGGGGUAAAGGCCUACCAAGGCGACGAUCUGUAGCGGGUCUGAGAGGAUGAUCCGCCACACUGGGACUGAGACACGGCCCAGACUCCUACGGGAGGCAGCAGUGGGGAAUAUUGGACAAUGGGCGGAAGCCUGAUCCAGCCAUGCCGCGUGUGUGAAGAAGGCCUUUUGGUUGUAAAGCACUUUAAGCGAGGAGGAGGCUACUUAGAUUAAUACUCUAGGAUAGUGGACGUUACUCGCAGAAUAAGCACCGGCUAACUCUGUGCCAGCCGCCGCGGUAAAAC